UCAUGCGAGUCGAACGAGAAAGUCACCUUCGGGUGACGAGUACAGUGGCGAACGGGUGAGUAACACGUGGGCAAUCUGCCCCUAGGUUUGGGAUAACACUUCCAACGAGGUGCUAAUACCGAAUGACAAGGCGAGUUGAUGACUCGUUUUUAAAGGUGGCCUCUACUUGUAAGCUGCCGCCUAGGGAUGGGCCCGCGUCGUAUUAGCUUGUUGGUAGGGUAACGGCCUACCAAGGCGACGAUGCGUAGCCGGCCUGAGAGGGUGAACGGCCACACUGGCACUGAGAUAAGGGCCAGUCUCCUACGGGAGCCAGCAGUCUAGAAAUUUGCACAGUCGCCGAAAGGCGGAUGCAGCGACACCACGUGGAGGAUGAAGCCCCUCGGGGUGUAAACUCCUGUCAGAAGGGAAGAAGGCGCGGGCGUUAAUACCGCUCGUUGCUUGACGGUACCUUCAGAGGAAGCUCCGGCUAACUACGUGCCAGCAGCCGCGGUAAUACGUAGGGAGCGAGCGUUGUUCGGAUUUACUGGGCGUAAAGGGCACGUAGGCGGGUAUGCAAGUCGGUUGUGAAAUCCUCUGGCUCAACCAGAGAACUGCAGCCGAAACUGCACACCUUGAGUCCAGCAGAGGGAAUCGGAAUCCCAGGUGUAGCGGUGAAAUGCGUAGAUAUCUGGGAGAACAUCAGUGGCGAAGGCGGAUUCCUGGGCUGGUACUGACGCUGAGGUGCGAAAGCUAAGGGAGCGAACAGGAUUAGAUACCCUGGUAGUCUUAGCCGUAAACGAUGGGUACUAGGUGUUGGGGGACAUUGACCCCCUCAGUGCCGUAGCUAACGCAUUAAGUACCCCGCCUGGGGAGUACGGCCGCAAGGCUGAAACUCAAAGGAAUUGACGGGGACCCGCACA
rnacentral:rRNA from 1 species